UACGGAGGGUGCGAGCGUUGUCCGGAAUCACUGGGCGUAAAGGGCGCGUAGGUGGCUUCUCAAGCGCGCGGUGAAAGCCCGGGGCUCAACCCCGGGUCGGCCGUGCGGACUGGGAGGCUCGAGCACUGUAGGGGCGGGUGGAAUUCCGGGUGUAGCGGUGGAAUGCGUAGAUAUGCGGAGGAACACCGAUGGCGAAGGCAAUCCCCUGGGCCUGCACUGACGCUCAUGCACGAAAGCGUGGGGAGCAAACAGG
rnacentral:rRNA from 1 species